ACAGCAGAGAUCCCCGCCACCAGCACAGCGCUGGUCGCGAGUGAGAAAAUCAGCAAGGGGAUCGGAGCUCACUGAGAGCUCCAGACAGAGAGAGAGAGAUGAGCUGGGCGUGUCACAGCCAGCUCUAACAUUUCUCCCCUCCCCUUGCUGCCCAUACAACCAGUUAAGAGGAGAGGAGCUGCUUCUACUCCUCCCCCUCCUCUCGUCCUUCGCUCCUGUGUCUGCCCCGCCCACUCUUCCCGACAGACACUGUUCUGCUGCCUAAGGAAUGUGGGCGGGAAGAUUCAAGCCCAGCAAACAGAAGGGAAAGAUGGAGGAGUCUGAUAUCCAUCCAGUCCCUCCUGCCAACCCGCAGCGUGGUGUUGAGAAGGCCCGGGAAGACAGACAGUCAAGUGUUGGUGAACUUGUGUGCCAGUGAGUCAGUGCCAACUGCCGUGAAGUUAGAUAG